AGUCAAUAGAUACCCCGGUAGUCCACGCCGUAAACGAUGAAUACUAGGUGUAGGGGUUGUCAUGACCUCUGUGCCGCCGCUAAACGCAUUAAGUAUUCCGCCUGGGGAGUACGGUCGCAAGAUUAAAACUCAAAGGAAUUGACGGGGGCCCGCACAAGCAGCGGAGCAUGUGGUUUAAUUCGAAGCAACGCGAAGAACCUUACCUAGACUUGACAUCUCCUGAAUUACUCUGUAAUGGAGGAAGCCCUUCGGGGCAGGAAGACAGGUGGUGCAUGGUUGUCGUCAGCUCGUGUCGUGAGAUGUUGGGUUAAGUCCCGCAACGAGCGCAACCCUUAUUGUUAGUUGCUACCAUUAAGUUGAGCACUCUAGCGAGACUGCCCGGGUUAACCGGGAGGAAGGUGGGGAUGACGUCAAAUCAUCAUGCCCCUUAUGUCUAGGGCUACACACGUGCUACAAUGGCUGGUACAGAGAGAUGCUAAACCGCGAGGUGGAGCCAAACUUUAAAACCAAGUCUCAGUUCGGAUUGUAGGCUGAAACUCGCUAC
rnacentral:rRNA from 1 species